rnacentral:rRNA from 1 species
AUUCAUCUCCGGGGGUAGAGCACUGUUUCGGCUAGGGGGCCAUCCCGGCUUACCAACCCGAUGCAAACUGCGAAUACCGGAGAAUGUUAUCACGGGAGACACACGGCGGGUGCUAACGUCCGUCGUGAAGAGGGAAACAACCCAGACCGCCAGCUAAGGUCCCAAAGUCAUGGUUAAGUGGGAAACGAUGUGGGAAGGCCCAGACAGCCAGGAUGUUGGCUUAGAAGCAGCCAUCAUUUAAAGAAAGCGUAAUAGCUCACUGGUCGAGUCGGCCUGCGCGGAAGAUGUAACGGGGCUAAACCAUGCACCGAAGCUGCGGCAGCGACACUGUGUGUUGUUGGGUAGGGGAGCGUUCUGUAAGCCUGUGAAGGUGUGUCGUGAGGCAUGCUGGAGGUAUCAGAAGUGCGAAUGCUGACAUAAGUAACGAUAAAGCGGGUGAAAAGCCCGCUCGCCGGAAGACCAAGGGUUCCUGUCCAACGUUAAUCGGGGCAGGGUGAGUCGACCCCUAAGGCGAGGCCGAAAGGCGUAGUCGAUGGGAAACGGGUUAAUAUUCCCGUACUUGGUGUUACUGCGAAGGGGGGACGGAGAAGGCUAUGUUGGCCGGGCGACGGUUGUCCCGGUUUAAGCGUGUAGGUGUGUGUUCCAGGUAAAUCCGGUUCACUUUAACACUGAGGCGUGACGACGAGGCACUACGGUGCUGAAGCAACAAAUGCCCUGCUUCCAGGAAAAGCCUCUAAGCAUCAGGUAACAUCAAAUCGUACCCCAAACCGACACAGGUGGUCAGGUAGAGAAUACCAAGGCGCUUGAGAGAACUCGGGUGAAGGAACUAGGCAAAAUGGUGCCGUAACUUCGGGAGAAGGCACGCUGACACGUAGGUGAAGUGAUUUACUCAUGGAGCUGAAGUCAGUCGAAGAUACCAGCUGGCUGCAACUGUUUAUUAAAAACACAGCACUGUGCAAACACGAAAGUGGACGUAUACGGUGUGACGCCUGCCCGGUGCCGGAAGGUUAAUUGAUGGGGUCAGCGCAAGCGAAGCUCCUGAUCGAAGCCCCGGUAAACGGCGGCCGUAACUAUAACGGUCCUAAGGUAGCGAAAUUCCUUGUCGGGUAAGUUCCGACCUGCACGAAUGGCGUAAUGAUGGCCAGGCUGUCUCCACCCGAGACUCAGUGAAAUUGAACUCGCUGUGAAGAUGCAGUGUACCCGCGGCAAGACGGAAAGACCCCGUGAACCUUUACUAUAGCUUGACACUGAACAUUGAGCCUUGAUGUGUAGGAUAGGUGGGAGGCUUUGAAGUGUGGACGCCAGUCUGCAUGGAGCCGACCUUGAAAUACCACCCUUUAAUGUUUGAUGUUCUAACGUGGACCCGUUACCCGGGUUGCGGACAGUGUCUGGUGGGUAGUUUGACUGGGGCGGUCUCCUCCUAAAGAGUAACGGAGGAGCACGAAGGUUGGCUAAUCCUGGUCGGACAUCAGGAGGUUAGUGCAAUGGCAUAAGCCAGCUUGACUGCGAGCGUGACGGCGCGAGCAGGUGCGAAAGCAGGUCAUAGUGAUCCGGUGGUUCUGAAUGGAAGGGCCAUCGCUCAACGGAUAAAAGGUACUCCGGGGAUAACAGGCUGAUACCGCCCAAGAGUUCAUAUCGACGGCGGUGUUUGGCACCUCGAUGUCGGCUCAUCACAUCCUGGGGCUGAAGUAGGUCCCAAGGGUAUGGCUGUUCGCCAUUUAAAGUGGUACGCGAGCUGGGUUUAGAACGUCGUGAGACAGUUCGGUCCCUAUCUGCCGUGGGCGCUGGAGAACUGAGGGGGGCUGCUCCUAGUACGAGAGGACCGGAGUGGACGCAUCACUGGUGUUCGGGUUGUCAUGCCAAUGGCACUGCCCGGUAGCUAAAUGCGGAAGAGAUAAGUGCUGAAAGCAUCUAAGCACGAAACUUGCCCCGAGAUGAGUUCUCCCUGAGACUUAAAGUCUCCUGAAGGAACGUUGAAGACGACGACGUUGAUAGGCCGGGUGUGUAAGCGCAGCGAUGCGUUGAGCUAACCGGUACUAAUGAACCGUGAGGCUUAACCUUACAACGCCGAAG